rnacentral:antisense_RNA from 1 species
CAGUUGCCGGGGUCCGGGGUGAGGAUCUGGUCACCGGCGUGGUCGCCGUCGGCGAUGACACCGAGUUCGAUGUCGUCGUCGUACUGUCCGGCGGCUUCCCGGACGACCCGGCCGUGCGCGAUCAGCAGCAGUUCGUCCGCGGGUUCGCCGCGCACGGCCAGUGCGUCGCCGGGCUCGUACUCGCGCUGGACGAACCCGUCGGCCAGGGCGCGCAGGGCCGCUUCGUCGGCCAGGCCGCGCAGCAGCGGGAUCUCCCGCAGCUCGGCGGGGAUGACGUCGACCUCGGCACCGGUGGAGACGAACUCGAUCCGGCCGUCGCCCAGGGUGUGGGUGAGCCGCCGGUUGACGCGGAAGGUACCGCCGGUGGUCUCCGUCCAGGGCAGGACGCGCAGCAGCCAGCGCGGGGAGAUCCCCUGCAUCUGGGGCGGUGUCUUGGUCGUGGUGGUGAGCUUGCGGGCGGCCGCCGUGGAGAGGCUGGCGCGGUCCUG